UACGUAGGCAGCAAGCGUUGUUCGGAAUUACUGGGCGUAAAGAGUGUGUAGGCGGUGCUCUAAGUUCGGUGUGAAAUCUCCCGGCUCAACUGGGAGGGUGCGCCGGAAACUGGAGUGCUGGAGCGCGGGAGAGGAAAGCGGAAUUCCCGGUGUAGCGGUGAAAUGCGUAGAGAUCGGGAGGAACAUCAGUGGCGAAGGCGGCCAUCUGGGACAACACUGACGCUGAAGCACGAAAGCGUGGGGAGCAAACAGG
rnacentral:rRNA from 1 species